rnacentral:tRNA from 1 species
GGGAUCUUAGCAUAAUGGUAAUGCACAUUGACUUUUAAUCAUUCGAAUAUUGGUUUGAAUGCCUGAUAGAUCCCA